AUUGAACGCUGGCGGCAGGCCUAACACAUGCAAGUCGAACGGUAACAGGAAGCAGCUUGCUGCUUUGCUGACGAGUGGCGGACGGGUGAGUAAUGUCUGGGAAACUGCCUGAUGGAGGGGGAUAACUACUGGAAACGGUAGCUAAUACCGCAUAACGUCGCAAGACCAAAGAGGGGGACCUUCGGGCCUCUUGCCAUCGGAUGUGCCCAGAUGGGAUUAGCUAGUAGGUGGGGUAACGGCUCACCUAGGCGACGAUCCCUAGCUGGUCUGAGAGGAUGACCGGCCACACUGGAACUGAGACACGGUCCAGACUCCUACGGGAGGCAGCAGUGGGGAAUAUUGCACAAUGGGCGCAAGCCUGAUGCAGCCAUGCCGCGUGCAUGAAGAAGGCCUUCGGGUUGUAAAGUACUUUCAGCGGGGAGGAAGGGAGUAAAGUUAAUACCUUUGCUCAUUGACGUUACCCGCAGAAGAAGCACCGGCUAACUCCGUG
rnacentral:rRNA from 1 species